rnacentral:hammerhead_ribozyme from 1 species
ACCCAGCUGACGAGUCCCAAAUAUGACGAAACGGGCGUCAAACUGGAU